GACUGCAUGAAGUCGGAAUCGCUAGUAAUCGCAGACCAGCAAAGCUGCGGUGAAUACGUUCCCGGGCCUUGUACACACCGCCCGUCACACCACGGGAGUCGGUCGCGCCUGAAGCCGGUGGCCUAUCAGUAAUGGGGGAGCCGUCUAUGGCGAGAUUGGUAACUGGGGUGAAGUCGUAACAAGGUAAC
rnacentral:rRNA from 1 species